AAGUUUGAUCAUGGCUCAGAAUGAACGCUGCGGCAUGCCUAACACAUGCAAGUCGAACGAAGCCUUCGGGCUUAGUGGCGCACGGGUGCGUAACGCGUGGGAAUCUGCCCUUGGGUUCGGAAUAACAGUUAGAAAUGACUGCUAAUACCGAAUGAUGUCGUAAGACCAAAGAUUUAUCGCCCAGGGAUGAGCCCGCGUAGGAUUAGCUAGUUGGUGUGGUAAAGGCGCACCAAGGCGACGAUCCUUAGCUGGUCUGAGAGGAUGAUCAGCCACACUGGGACUGAGACACGGCCCAGACUCCUACGGGAGGCAGCAGUGGGGAAUAUUGGGACAGUGGGCGAAAGCCUGAUCCAGCAAUGCCGCGUGAGUGAUGAAGGCCUUAGGGUUGUAAAGCUCUUUUACCCGGGAUGAUAAUGACAGUACCGGGAGAAUAAGCUCCGGCUAACUCCGUG
rnacentral:rRNA from 1 species